rnacentral:rRNA from 1 species
UACGAAGGGGGCUAGCGUUGCUCGGAAUCACUGGGCGUAAAGGGUGCGUAGGCGGGUCUUUAAGCCAGGGGUGAAAUCCUGGAGCUCAACUCCAGAACUGCCUUUGAUACUGAAGAUCUUGAGUUCGGGAGAGGUGAGUGGAACCGCGAGUGUAGAGGUGAAAUUCGUAGAUAUUCGCAAGAACACCAGUGGCGAAGGCGGCUCACUGGCCCGAUACUGACGCUGAGGCACGAAAGCGUGGGGAGCAAACAGG